GACGAACGCUGGCGGCGUGCUUAACACAUGCAAGUCGAACGGAAAGGCCCUGCUUUUGUGGGGUGCUCGAGUGGCGAACGGGUGAGUAACACGUGAGUAACCUGCCCUUGACUUUGGGAUAACUUCAGACAACUGGGGCUAAUACCGGAUAGGAGCUCCCGCUGCAUGGUGGGGGUUGGAAAGUUUCGGCGGUUGGGGAUGGACUGGCGGCUUAUCAGCUUGUUGGUGGGGUAGUGGCUUACCAAGGCUUUGACGGGUAGCCGGCCUGAGAGGGUGACCGGCCACAUUGGGACUGAGAUACGGCCCAGACUCCUACGGGAGGCAGCAGUGGGGAAGAGUGCACUAUGGGAGGAAGCCUAAUGCAGCAACGCCGCGUGCGGGAUGACGGCCUUGGGGUUGGAAACCGCUUUCGCCUGUGACGAGGCGUGAGUGACGGUAAUGGGUAAAGAAGCACCGGCUAACUACGUG
rnacentral:rRNA from 1 species